rnacentral:sRNA from 2 species
UAUCAGAGGAAGGAUCUAUCCAUUUACCCGAGAUUCAUCGAUUGUCGAAGUUGGGAACUGCCGAAGCUGAUGAGCUCCUUUUGAAAUAUUUUCUAGAGGGAUCCAGGCUUCGAGCAACGGUGGGCGUGUACAGGGAAGUUGUCACCCAGUCAACAAUCAAAGACGGUGUAAAAACACUGAAGUUAAAACCAGGAGACCGUGUUGCUUGUAACCUCGUCAAAGCGUCUAUGGACCCGAAGAAGUUCCCUGAACCCGAUAAAGUUGACUUGACGCGGGAUCUUGAUUCAUACAUCCAUUUCGGAC